AUGUAUCACUGGAGCACAUCGUCUUCUCCUUGUUAUAGCAACAGCGGCAGCGGCAGCGGCAGCAAUGGUCCCUUGCUCCCCUCCAUGGCGUCCAGCAGCUACGGUGAUCUGCUGCUCCUACAAGAGCAGCAGCAGCAGCAUCACUACUACUCCCAGUCGAUGCAGCGUGUGAUGAGCGCCGGAGACCUCCAAGCUCUUGCGGUGCCGCCGGGGACGGGGCCGGCUCCGGUGGGGCGGUACAGCGCGGAGGAGCGGCGGGAGCGCAUCGAGAAGUACCGCACCAAGCGCAACCAACGCAACUUCCAGAAGAAGAUCACGUACGCUUGCCGGAAGACGCUGGCGGACAGCCGGCCGAGGGUGAAGGGCCGCUUCGCGCGCAACGUCGACGACGACGCAGCAGCAGAUCAGCCGGAGGAUCCGACGACGACCAUGACGACGGCGGCUGUGUCUCUGGUCAACGACGCCAGCAGCAGCAUGCCGCCGGAGUGGUGGCCGGCAAUGCAGGGCGCGCUGGCCGUGGAGGACGACGAGCUCAUCGCCUCCUACCUCGCCGUCUCCUCCAUCAACCUCUACUAG
rnacentral:rRNA from 1 species